rnacentral:rRNA from 1 species
GAUGAACGCUGGCGGCGUGCCUAAUACAUGCAAGUCGAGCGAACAGACGAGGAGCUUGCUCCACUGACGUUAGCGGCGGACGGGUGAGUAACACGUGGAUAACCUACCUAUAAGACUGGGAUAACUUCGGGAAACCGGAGCUAAUACCGGAUAAUAUAUUGAACCGCAUGGUUCAAUAGUGAAAGACGGUUUUGCUGUCACUUAUAGAUGGAUCCGCGCCGCAUUAGCUAGUUGGUAAGGUAACGGCUUACCAAGGCAACGAUGCGUAGCCGACCUGAGAGGGUGUUCGGCCACAUUGGAAAUGAGACACGGUCCAAACUCCUACGGGAGGCAGCAGUAGGGAAUCUUCCGCCAUGAGCGAAAGCCUGACGGUGCAACGUCUCGUGAGUGAUGAAGGUCUUCGGAUCGUAAAACUCUGUUAUUAGUGAAGCACAAAUGUGUAACUAACUAUGCACUGCUUGACGGUACCUAGUCAGAAAGCCACGGCUAACUACGUG